AGUAAUAUAGUCAUAAUGGGUGUGCAAUGUGUAACUGUAAUAACAUACUGUAAGUGCCCAGACAGGAUAAAUUCUAACAAUAAAGUUCGUCCUAAUAUCGGUUUAAAAUCCAUAGAAAACUCGAAUAAAGAGAAACGUGAACAUUUUUUAAACAUGGAAAUACAUUUCUUUUUAAAUACAGAUACAUUUAAAGUUCUAAUAAUAGCAAAUGUUCUAGGUCUGUCCUAUAUUGUGGAUGUUCAUGAUGCGCGCUGUGUUGGAGGACGGAACAGAGCAACAGACAGAUGUAGGCUAAAACUCGCAACAUAGUAGCAUGCGCCCCUGUUAUCCACGCCCGCCCCCACGUGCCAAUUAUCUUCCCAAAACUCGCUGAGAGGCGACAGAAGCACCUGACAGAUGUUGACCGUUUAAAGCCGCGCAUUCUCGCGAGUUCAAGAGACACUCCACGUGCACUUUAGGGACGGAUGAAACGGAGAGACCGCACUUUAGCAGCAUCGGAUAAAGGUUUUGGAACAAGCUCUUGUCAAUGGUUAAAUACUGACAGAAUAAGUAAAGCAUUCAGAAAUAUGAUGAGGAUUUUUCCUACUCAGUCUAAUUCCAAAUGUUGAUGCCAAAGACAUUUCCUUUUUUUAAACAGACUUUGUUUUUGGAGAAAUACUUGGAAAAUACUUUGAAACUGAUUUACCAAACUGAUGUGUUUUCAGCCCGAACAGGAACACGGACAUUAAUUAGCAUGACCUUUUAAUUUGCAUUUGAAUCGAUAAAAAGCACAGAAAUCAUUCAUUUAAUAAUUAUUGAAAAGUGUUCGUAGGCCAUAGUAAUAUGAUAACAAUAGGGUAAUAAUAAUAGCCCAUUAGUAACAUAAUAAUCAUAAUAGUAAUAAUAAUCAUUGGGUAUAAAAUGCAUCUGUAUUUUGUAUGCUUCAUUUUAGUUUUUUGAUCGAUUGUACAAUGUUUACAGAAACAAUAGCAGGAAAGCACAUUUAAUGGGAGGUACAUUUAAGGAAGCAGGCAGCCUAGCGGUUAAGAGCGUUGGCCCAGCAACCGUCAGGUCGCUGGUUCGAAUCGCAGAACCGAUUAGGUGAAAAAUCUCUAAACGUUCCCUUGAGCAAGGUACUUAACCCUAAUUGCGCUGGAUAAGAGCGUCUGCUGAAUUACUAUAAUGUAAAUGAUUCGUGUAAAUAUUAUUUUGUCUAUGAUAGUGUGUACUGACAGCUAGCAUCAUGUAUGGUCGCAGGGUUGGGUAAAUCCCGUUUUCAAUUCAGUCAGUUGAAUUCAAAUGUAAUUCCCGAUUCAACCUAUUUAUUGUCAUUGGUGGAGAUGGAAUUGACCGUGUCAAAUUGCCAUAGCCGUGGCAGUUGCAAGGAGGCCUGCCUAUUCAUUGCAGCGUAUAUUUUACAUCUCCUUAGAUAACAUGUUAUUUACCCAAGCUUACAAUGCUGAAUGUCAGGUUGACACGGGGAUGGAUAAGCAAAUUGUCAGCGAAUCGCACCUGAAAAAUUGUCACUUUGAUAAAUCAUGAAUUUCCUACGUAAACCCGAGCUACAUCUAGAAUGUAAAUAUGCAGAUACUGCCACUAUCAACUGCGUUACAGAAUUCGUCAAAUUACGAAUAAUGUUUUGGAGGUAUCAGCUUCAUGAUUUAAAGACUCUGGCAUUGUGUUUCAAGGGCUUUAAUAUAAAAAUGGGUAUUUCGAUUUGAGUUAGUAUUUCGUUAUUUUCCAUAUAGGUCUGUAUCAGUGAAUAAAAAAUAAAGCAUUCAUUACUCACUAAAUAGCCUGCUUUUUGGUGUGUGUUUGUUUGUAAUAUGGACUUCAUAGUGCAGGCCUAUAAGUAGCCUGCGUGUGAGAGAGACCACUGAGAGCGAUUGCAGUGUGGUAGCCUACUGUGUGUGUGCUUCAGUUCUGCGAGAGCUGUCUUUCAGCACCACGGCGCGCGUUCAUGGAAUGUGCGCACCCGCCGAAUUGAGUCUCCAGUAGACGGCGAUCAAGCUCUGCCACGAUAGAACCGAGCCUUUCUCCUGAAGAUGUUCCUUCAUAGUCGGUGUCAAUUGUGACCUUCUCUGUUUGGCAACGAUAAUUAAAACGUAUUGAUAAAACAAGGUAUUGGUCAAUAGGACUCUAUACUUGUUUUGCAAUCAUUCGCCCUUGUAAAUUUGUGAAUCAUUUCUGAAUAACCACAGGGCCUGGUCGAAAAACCUAUUUUAGAUAAUUAAUUGUGCAUUAAUGUUUUACAUUGAAUAGGUUAUACAAUUCACAAUCAUAUUUUUUAUGUAAAAUAUUAGAUAACUGGUUGAGUUUCUUUCUGUCAUUAAUUAAUUGAUUGAUGUGGAAUUGGUUUGGUGGACUGCCAACCCGUGAAUAGACUAUAGACAGACUUUGCUAUGGGGCUAUGGAAACACAAAAACAAAUUAUAUAGCCUUAAUGAAAUUAGCUGAAUUUUAAUCGACAUAAUCCACAAUUACGAUGUAAAUUACAAUGUACAUUUACUUAUAAUCCGCCUGUCUGCAUAUUUCAAGACAUGUCAUAUGAGGAUGCAGUGAGAUACCGGAUGGGUUGGACAACACUCUUCUCGUUAAUUAUCUUUAAAAUAAAAAGUAUACUUAAAAACUGUAAAUAACCAAUCCUCCAUCUUUAAGACAAUGGAAAAAUAAUCAUAUGCUUCAUUAUCUAAAUAUUGAAAGAGCGUGGGCGACGGAGAGGAACAAAAUGGUGCAAUUUGAGGACAUGUGGCAGAGAGUAGCGCAGGCACAGAAAAUAGGGUUGAGAACAGGUGUGUAUGAGCAGGUGUGAUGUCGUUGAGGCUUGUGUGUAUUUUGUAUGUACAUGCUUUGUAUUGUAAUAAUAAAUAAAAAACGAUUUAAAAAAUCAAUUAGCAUAAUAAAAAUAUCUCUGAAAUGUAAAGUGACGGCGUAGUUUGAAGUCUUGUUUUGUUUAUUGAAGCCAUAUGUUAGGUAAAACCAUGAGGCAGGUCACUCAGAAUUGUAUGUUGUAAUUUAUCUGUAUUUACCCUGCUUGGCCUAUAAACGCCCAGAGAUUGAAGGGGGAGAAAUGUCUCCCACAGAAUAGUACAUCGAGGAGAAAUACUAUAUUGCUUUCUCUCAUCAUGGGUAACUCCCAUGUGGUUCUAGCACAAUGUCAAUUGUAGCAAUCCCCCCUCCACCGCUUUCAGACAAAAG
ensembl:lncRNA